AGAACGACCGAGUUUCUCUCAGCCGAGAACUGUGGCUGCCCCUCCGGUGAAAACAGAGGAAGUGGGAGCGGCAGGAAGCGCUUUGGGACCAGGGCGACCCCUGAAGCGUAGAGGAACCAGGUCACAAGCAUACGUGAAUGCUCACAUUCCAUAGUUAUCAAAUGUAUUCAGGUUUAAAUUUUACUUUUCUAGAAAAAAUGUAAAUAAUCCGUUGAGAAUAUUUAAUGAAAAAUGUUGGUCGUAUCUUUAUCUGGUCUGCGGCUCUGUCCCUGUUUCCUGGAUAGGAGACUACGUCUGUAUCUUGUAUCACAGGAGGCACCUUCUUCCUGUUUCCUGGCACAGACUUUAAAUCUUAGUGCUCCUCACUCUUUGCGUCUACGCUGCUUUUAUGAACUGUUAACACUCACUGUGAAGGUCUGCAGCUUCACUCCUUAAGCCAGCGAGACCACAAACCCACUGGGAGGGAUAAACAACUCCAGACGGGAGGAACAAACAACUUCGGGUGCACCACCUUUAUGAACUGUAGCACUCACUGUGAAGGUCUGCAGCUUCACUCCUGAGGCCAGCAAGACCACGAACCCACCAGAAGGAACGAACAACUCCAGAUAUGCCACCUUUAAGGGCUAUAACACUCACCGCGGAAGUCUGCAGCUUCACUCCUGAAGUCAGUGAGACCAUGAACCCACCAGAAGGAAGAAACUCUGGACACAUCUGAACAUCUGAAGGAACAAACUCUGGACACACCAUCUUUAAGAACUGUAACACUCACCGCGAGGGUACACGGCUUCAUUCUUGAAGUCAGCGAGACUAAGAACCCAACAAUUCCGGACACAGCAUGAUCUUGGUUCACU
rnacentral:lncRNA from 10 species